CUAGUUUUCCAUGGCAUCUUUGCUCCCUCCCUUCGUUUUCUCUACUUUUAUUUUGUAUCGAAGAAAAACGACAAUACAAAAUUCACAGAAAUAGAUUAUUUCUAAUACAGCAGCAGGUAGCGCUCGCGGUGGAGCAGCUGCUCGCCGUGAAUUCGUACAACCCCGACAUCCUUCCCAAUCUCGAAAACUACGUCAACGGGCAGGUUUCUUCGCAGACCUACAAUCUCGAUGCCAAUCUUUGCCUUCUUAGCCUCUAUCAGUGCCGAAGAGUUUGCUGAGCGUGAUGAACACUUACAAUGCCAACGGAAGCCCUACAGUCUCUGCAUCUCCGGCUGUGGCUUCGCAAUCAUUCAAUCUUUUGGUUCUGUUCCUUCCAACACGUACCAAACGCAGAACAGAACAAUCGUCUUAUUCCGUCCUACGCGUACCAAACAUACACGAAACCUCCAUUCCGUUCCAUCUACGUACCAAACGGUACCUUAGCGAAGACCUUUUUUUGGAUCAAAAUAUAGACUUAUUUAUAAUUUAAUCGAAAUGUUUAUAUGCAAGAAUAUUAAAUAAAAAUG